CAGCUGUGUGUGCUGGGCCCACUGAUCAGGGUGCUCAGGACCAGGAGCCUUCUGAGGAUGUGCAGAGGGGACUCUGGGGAGAGGAACAUGGUGGCCACAGCUGGAGUGACCGCAGUGUACAGAGAUGGGAUGGGAGCAGGAAACCCAAAAGAGCCGGCCCUGGAACCAGGUGGAGGGGAGGCAGCCCGGCCAUGACCCAGAGCAGGACACCUGCUCCACUUCACCUUUUGCCAUGAGUAAAAGCUCCCUGAGGCCUCCCAAGAAGUUGAUGCCCUGUGCUUCCUGUACAGCUGCGGAACCGGAUGGCUUUCCGUGGCUUUGCUACAGCCACUCCUGGAAGUGCUGCCUGACUGAAUCCUCAGGGCACCCCGGCAGGAUGGACGUGGUGUACCCCCUACUUUACAGAUGGGGAAACUGAGGCUUGAGAGCUAAAGCAGCCCACCCAGCUCCCAGAGAUGAGGAGGCCGACUCUGGCAGGAGUCACUGUCGGUGCAUGGGCAUUUCUUCCUGUUACAGCCUGCGGCCCCUUCCAGGCCGGGAGGCCUUCUGCGCAGGGCACCCUCCCUGCAUGGCCCGAUGACCUGCACUCCUGUUUCAUCUCCCCGUGUGGCACCUGGGGCAGCUUGGAGCCUACCAAGGUCUCAACAAGGAACCAGUAAAUACCAAAAAAAGGACAUCACGUCCCCUACAGCUAACUGCAAAUGGUGACCAUCCCAGCCCUUGUUUGAUAACACAAGCAAAGCAAUGGCUUCUUCAAGGACACCGAGAGGAACCUCACCUCUUUCUAAAACCUCCAACACAGGGCCAGGCGCGGUGGCUCAUGCGUGUAAUCCCAGCACUUUGGGAGGCCGAGGCAGGUGGAUCACGAGGUCAGGAGAUCGAGACCAUCCUGGCUAACACGGUGAAACCCCGUCUCUACUAAAAAUAAAAAAAAUUAGCCGGGCGUGGUGGUGUGCGCCUGUAGUCCCAGCUGCUCGGGGAGGCUGAGGUAGGAGAAUAGCGUGAACCCAGAAGGUGGAGGUAGCAGUGAGCCGAGAUCACUCCACUGCACUCCAGCCUGGGCAACAGAGCAAGACUCCAUCUCAAAAAACAAACAAACCUCCAACACCACCUGGAAGGGCCUGGAGGCACUCACUGAUGAGCCUGGAAUUUCUCACAGGGGACAGAGAGGUGGCCAAGGCUCCUGCACAUUUCCCCAUCUGUCUGACACCCCUUUCCAGAACCAGAAAGCGUGCUGAGCUCGGCCUCUGUCACGCAGGGUUCCAGGUAUUUCUGGGGCUCAGCAGGGAGAAGGCCAGGACGUGCUCCCUGACUCUCGGCAGGGCGGGAGAAGAAUGAAUCCUCUGAGGUCCCCAGCUUGGGGAAAAGGGGGUGGGAGAGUGGCGGGCAGAGACCUCCUCCGUAUCCCCCUCUCCUGAAGCCCUGCCGCUGUGGCAGCCCUACAGGGACUACAGGGCUCCAGCCCUACAGGGACUCUGCGGUGGGGCGGGUGUGCAGGCUCACAGGCUCUGGAAAUGCCCCAGGAUGCCUUGGCAGUGUCUCCCACAGACCCAGGAGCGCCACUAGAAACAGGACCCUUCCUCAGUCAUCCUGCAUGGGGGCUCCUGUUGCUUUGGGGGCUGCUUUCCAGCAGCUGCGUCAGACAACGACCCACCUCAUCCCCCCAGCCAGGACCUGAACAGGCACUGACGUCAGAUACGUAGACCUUGUUGCUGAACUUGUCAAAAACUUCAAUGGUGAUUUCAUACAGGCGGCCGGUCUCCAGCACCCACCUAUCACCAGGGUGAAUGGUGAACCCUAAAACAGGCAGGGGGAGCCUGAGCACUCAGGCCUCAGGGGCAGCAGGGUGGAGGAGGAUGGGACCACCACCCUCAGCACAGGGGCCCUCAGCAUCCACAUGGGAAGCCCCACUCCACCCACCUGUAGGCCCCACACCACCCACCUGCAGGCCCCACACCACUUACCUGGAGGCCCCACACCACCCACCUAGGGGCCCCACAAUUAUGGCGCUGGCCUCCUCCACAGAGAGGGACCUGUUGCUGAGGAACAGAUGCCUGAUGCCGCCUUCAGCCCUGAGUCCUGAGCUGACCUCCCGAGGACCAAACCUGGACUCAUCCCAUUCUAUCUGAACAAGGCUCCUUCAAACUUGUUCCUGUUCCUCAGUGGGUCUACACUCAGAAUCCUAGCAGCUCUGUCCUUAACACACAGCAGGUCUAUGCUCUGAAGUGAUAAUAGAUCUAUAGUGUUCACAGUAGAACUAGUCUGAACCUUCAGGGGGUCUGUGCUCUGAGGAGGGAUGGACAUAGACUCCAAGAAAGUGAUGAUUCUGGAAAAGGAACGCGUUGUUAAAGUUUGUUGAUCAAACCCAGACACAAGGUCUGUCAGAAUCUACCACAGCAUUCCCUAUCAGCCCCUCCCACUGGGGCCAACACUGAAGAAAUAAGGGGUGUCCCGUUAGUCAGGGCUGGGGCUACCUAGAGACAUGUCCCUGCAGCUUCCUACAUCAGAUCUGCCCAUGUCCUUGUGAAAAAUGCAGAUGCUUGGCCCCUGGCCCAGGCUGUGUCUGCAAGAAGCCUGGGAAACUCCAUUUUAUCCA
rnacentral:lncRNA from 1 species